rnacentral:rRNA from 1 species
UACAGAGGUGGCAAGCGUUGUUCGGAAUUACUGGGCGUAAAGAGCGCGCAGGCGGUCGUUCAAGUCGCGUGUGAAAGCCCCCGGCUCAACUGGGGAGGGUCACGCGAUACUGAUCGACUCGAAGGCAGGAGUGGGAAGUGGAAUUCCCGGUGUAGUGGUGAAAUGCGUAGAUAUCGGGAGGAACACCAGUGGCGAAGGCGACUUCCUGGCCUGUUCUUGACGCUGAGGCGCGAAAGCUAGGGGAGCAAACGGG